GGCACUGGUAGAAGGUACUCUGGCUUUAGCAAGAUGGGGUUCGACUCCCCGCAGUCUC
rnacentral:snRNA from 1 species